rnacentral:RNase_P_RNA from 1 species
AUUAYUGGAAAAUAUAUGUGCUKSCUUCACGUGACUUUSCAGACUCCUYAWAAAAAAAAWGAGUAGUCYCUUUUCACAGGUGGGAAAUUCGGUGGACAACAAUAUCACGAACAUGGUAGCGUGUUYKUACAUCUCUUUUAACCAAAGUAAUGUWUGARGCACACACCAUAAGCUACGCUUUUAAAGAAAAGGAAAARAAAAWUUUUUCCCCCUCUGAAAACGUAUUAAUCUAGAGAUUGGGAGCGACAGUUUUCUGUCCCCGUUCGACGCUGUUAUAAGAAAUCUUCAACUUAACUUCUCGGAGUUAAAUGGGAAUGAACAGCGGUUAGUGGUGUUUGAAUAUUGUAAAAAAUAAUUUGUUUAGUGCAAUUGUAGAAGAUUGUCAUCGCUGGUCAAACAUUGAUGAUGAUUACCUCGAUACCGAUUACUGACUUAUCCAUUUGAU